CGGGUUGUUUGGGAUCGCAGCCCAAAGCAGGUGGUAUACUUCAUCUAAGACUAAAUAUGCCUACGAGACCGAUAGCGAAAAAGUACCGUGAGGGAAAGUUGCAAAGCACUUUGAAGAGAGAGUUAAAGAGGACGUGAAACCGGUAGGAUGGAAACGGAUAGAGCCAGCGAAGUCGUUCGUAUUCAGCCAAAGGCUUGUUGCAUCAGCUCGGUGGAUUGUUAAUCGCAUUCGCCGGGUUGCUUUGUGGCUUGCUGAGGUGCAUUUGCGGGCGUUUGCGCUGAGACUUGCGAGCCAGCUUCUGGACCCGGGCCUAGAGGCCGUCCUCUGGGCGGAACUUGGGCACGGUUACGGUUGUUUGACCUGCUCGUACCACGGCUUGGCCAACGAACCGGUGCGCCGUCGUUGCUUUCUUUCAGCGGUAUCGCAUGCGAUGCUCCGUCUGAGGGCUGCGGCUGUGUGCUUGGUUCCCAAGUCGGCUCUCGGUGUAAAAGCUGGUCACCUAUCCGACCCGUCUUGAAACACGGACCAAGGAGUUUAGCGUAUACGCGAGCCAUUGGGUGUUAAAACUCACAGGCAUAAUGAAAGUGAAGGCCCAGCCGCUGGGCUGACAUGCGAGUUGGCGGCCCCCGGGCCGUCGAUGCAGCAUGGUCCCGUUCCGAUCGCUUGCGAUGGAGCGGAGACAGAGCGUAUGCGCUGAGACCCGAAAGAUGGUGAACUAUUCCUGAGCAGGAUGAAGCCAGAGGAAACUCUGGUGGAAGUCCGAAGCGAUUCUGACGUGCAAAUCGAUCGU
rnacentral:rRNA from 1 species